rnacentral:rRNA from 1 species
UACGAAGGGUGCAAGCGUUACUCGGAAUUACUGGGCGUAAAGCGUGCGUAGGUGGUUCGUUAAGUCUGAUGUGAAAGCCCUGGGCUCAACCUGGGAAUGGCAUUGGAUACUGGCGACCUAGAGUGCGGUAGAGGGGUGUGGAAUUCCUGGUGUAGCAGUGAAAUGCGUAGAUAUCGGGAGGAACAUCUGUGGCGAAGGCGACACCCUGGACCAGCACUGACACUGAGGCACGAAAGCGUGGGGAGCAAACAGG